rnacentral:lncRNA from 1 species
AUGUCCAUUUGUAAAAACAGAGACACUAAUAAGCCCGAUGUGAAAGGCACAAUUGCCGAGAUUUCUAGCUGUAUUUUGGGUCUUGGAGGGACAUCCUUUGCUCUCAGAAGCUUAGUACGGACUGGGGUAUUUUUACCUACAGAAUACAAAGACUUCAAUUUGAGGAAAUGUCAUUCAGAUUUGGCCAACAUCUCAUCAAGCCCUCCGUGGUGUUUCUCAAAACAGAACUGUCCUUUGCCUUGGUGAACAGGAAGCCUGUGGUACCUGGACGUAUCCUUUUUUUUUUUUAAGAGAGAAAACAGACCAAAUGAACACAGCCAUUAACCUCUAGUAUUCGACCAAAAAGGUAAGCAAGGAAUCCUCCUGUCUCCCCCUUUGGAGAAACCAGGUAGGACAAUAUUCACAUUUAUUCUGAAUCCAGUUGGUGGCACCAGUAAUAUGCUUGAUCAGUGCUGCAGAACUUCUGAAAAGGAGUUGCUUAGCAACUGUGGCUUUGGAGGUGAGUUUUUGCAUGACCUUUUCACUGUUGUGGCUGUGUAAAUAAAUAGGUGCUUCUAAAAUGGAUCCAAUGAAUAUCCUUAGCACUUUGUUUUCAGGUGUCAAGUGUGCACUUUAAUAGUAAGAUAAGAGAUUGGGUGAUGCACUUGUGUUGUGGAAGUAAGGUGUUACAUGAAGAUUUGAGACUGGCUUGGUUUCUUUACCUCUUGGAGAUCAUUCAAGCUGUGAAUUUUAAUUGCACUCAAACACAUAAAUAUACUACAAAAUAUAUAUAUAUAUUUUAUGUUAGAGUCUGAGAUAGCAUUUUCUCUUGGAAAACAUCCCAGCUCCUAGAUCAUUGUCUGGUGCCAUUGGUGGUGUGGGGUAUUUUAUUUCCCUCUGACCAUCGAUUUCAGUAGAAGCUUUAUUCUUUGCGGUGGGAGAGGGAGAAUUUGGUGAAAUGCCCUGGAGAGUUGUUUUUAUGUUGUUGAAAGUAUCACUCGUGACUGUAUGUGGAUGACAUUUGUACUAACUCUUCAAAAAUUUUAUUCCCCCCCACCCACCCC